GAUGAAGAACGUAGCGAAAUGCGAUAAGUAGUGUGAAUUGCAGAAUUCAGUGAAUCAUCGAAUCUUUGAACGCACAUUGCGCCCUUUGGUAUUCCUUAGGGCAUGCCUGUUCGAGCGUCAUUUAAACCCUUCAAGCUCAGCUUGGUGUUGGGUGACUGUCCGCCGCCCCCGGGCGCGGACUCGCCCCAAAUUCAUUGGCGGCCGGUACGUAGGCUUCGAGCGCAGCAGAAACGCGAACUCGGGCCCGCGGUGUCGGCUCCCAGAAGCCAUCUCUUUUAUUUUGACCUCGGAUCAGGUAGGGAUACCCGCUGAACUUAAGCAUAUAAUAAGCGGAGGA
rnacentral:misc_RNA from 1 species